rnacentral:rRNA from 1 species
AUGGUGGGGGUGCUGUCGAAUCGGGUGGGCCGGGAGGCCCUCGCCGCCGGGGAUCACAUCUACUCGUGGAGAACCGCCUACAUCUACGCCCACCACGGGAUAUAUGCUGGAGAUGGAAUGGUUAUCCAUUUUACGAGAGCGGCUGGACAUGAAAUUGGGACAGGGACAUUUUUAGACAAGUUUCUGUUCAGCUCAUCGCCGACUACGGCGGAUGGCCCUCCUUGUGAGAAAUGUGGGCACCUCAUCAAGCCUCAGGGCGUCAUAAUGUCCUGUCUCGAUUGCUUCCUGGACGGGGGCAGUCUCUACCUCUUCGACUAUGCUGUGUCGCCCCCUUUCUUCCUUGCCAAAGCACGUGGAGGAACCUGCACUAUGGCACCCUCUGACGCUGCUCAGCUUGUUGUCCACCGUGCCAAACACCUCCUCAACAAUGGCUUUGGCAUGUAUAGCCUGUUUAAGAACAACUGUGAGGACUUCGCGAUAUACUGCAAGACGGAGCUGCUUGUCGAGACUGCUUACAGCGUUGGGCGCAGUGGGCAGCUGGCGUCCCUGACGGCUGCAUUCAGUGCGGUGGCUUCUUCGCCGCUGCGUUUCCUGACAACUAGUGCUAGUGGUCUGGCAAUUGUGACAAGCGGCAUGUACUGCGUGGGGCGAUAUGUGUCAGACAUGGGUGUUCGCCGUGAUGUGAUCAAGGUGCCUGUGGAAAGGCUUGUAGAGCACUGGGUGAACAACGUCACUCCUGCUCUUCCUCAAGGGGCCACACAGGCGGAGACGGCAAUGCCUGGAGGCUCGCCGGAGCUACCAGGGGAAGGGGAGCUUGCUAAAACGGCAACACCAGAAGGCUCGCUGGAGCUACCAGGCGAAGGGGAACUUGCUAAAAAGGAAUGUUAUGGAGAGGAUUCUCCUUGCUGCAGUCUACACCGUACUAAUUGUGGCUACUUUUGA